rnacentral:misc_RNA from 1 species
GAUGAAGAACGUAGCGAAAUGCGAUAAGUAAUGCGAAUUGCAGAAUUCAGUGAGUCAUCGAAUCUUUGAACGCACAUUGCGCCCUGUGGUAUUCCGCAGGGCAUGCCUGUUCGAGCGUCAUUUCAACCCUCAAGCUCUGCUUGGUGUUGGGCCCUGCCCGCUGCGGCCGGCCCUAAAGACAGUGGCGGUGCCGCCUGGCCCUGAGCGUAGUACAUCUCUCGCUCCAGUGCCCGGUGGUAGCCUGCCAGAACCCCAACUCUCGUGGUUGACCUCGGAUCAGGUAGGGAUACCCGCUGAACUUAAGCAUAUCGAUAAGCGGAGGA